UCACCGUCCCACAGUGUGUGUGGGAAGGAGCAUAUGGAGGAACGUGCACACUCCCGACACAUAUGUAUUAUAGCGGCAUGGAUCUUGUGAACGUGACAACCACAAGUACAGGUUGGACGGGAGUAGACGUCUUCCUGGUUACCGACAGCUCCAAGUACACACCUACACAGUGUGGAUGAAAAAAACAGAAGCGCUUUGAGGACACCUUCUGCUCUGCCAUGAUGACAGCAUACCCUGAGCGGUGUGAGCGUGUCUUACCACAUGGCGUGCAUGAAAUUGCGGAACAAACUGGCCACCAGAAGGUCCUGGCGAAACAACUUCUGGAACAAAUCUACAUGGACAGACAACAGAAGAGGUGUUAGUAAGAUGCAUUGAACACAAAUACAUGGCUUUAUAAAUGGACAAAAAUGCUAUCCAAACAAAUCAAAAUUUGAUCAAAUACUUCAGUGCAUUUACGACAAGAAAAGAGAAGUUAGAAGAAGUUACAGUAAACCAUGUGUGCAUGUUUAUCCCCAAGAGACACAGCAACGCUUUGUUGUUUUUACAGCCUAAUUUCAUGGAAGUAACAUUUGAUUUGCUGGAAUUCUGUUUGAUUAAACAUAAAUUCGGCUUUAGGAAACUAGCAUGAUUUAAAGUAAAAGUAAAAAUGUAUUACAUUUAUCCAGUCACU